GUAGCUCAGUGGUAGAGUGCUUGCCUUGCAUGCAUGAAGCCCUGGGUUCGAUUCUUCAGC
rnacentral:tRNA from 1 species